CUACGGGUCGCUGCAGUGGGGAAUAUUGGACAAUGGGGGGAACCCUGAUCCAGCCAUGCCGCGUGUGUGAAGAAGGCCUUUUGGUUGUAAAGCACUUUAAGCAGUGAAGAAGACUCUUCGGUUAAUACCCGGGGACGAUGACAUUAGCUGCAGAAUAAGCACCGGCUAACUCUGUGCCAGCAGCCGCGGUAAUACAGAGGGUGCAAGCGUUAUUCGGAAUUACUGGGCGUAAAGCGAGCGUAGGUGGCUUGAUAAGUCAGAUGUGAAAUCCCCGGGCUUAACCUGGGAACUGCAUCUGAAACUGUUAGGCUAGAGUAGGUGAGAGGGAAGUAGAAUUUCAGGUGUAGCGGUGAAAUGCGUAGAGAUCUGAAGGAAUACCGAUGGCGAAGGCAGCUUCCUGGCAUCAUACUGACACUGAGGCUCGAAAGCGUGGGUAGCAAACAGGAUUAGAUACCCUAGUAGUC
rnacentral:rRNA from 1 species